GCCUGGGUGGCUCAGUUGGUUGGGCGUCUGACUUCGGCUCAGGUCACGAUCUCGCGGUCCGUGAGUUCGAGCCCCACGUCGGGCU
rnacentral:tRNA from 1 species